AGCAAUUAUACAGCGAAACUGCGAAUGGCUCAUUAUAUAAGUUAUCGUUUAUUUGAUAGCACCUUACUACUUGGAUAACCGUGGUAAUUCUAGAGCUAAUACAUGCUAAAAAUCCCGACUCUGAAGGGAUGUAUUUAUUAGAUUAAAAACCAAUGCCCUUCGGGGCUUCCUGGUGAUUCAUGAUAACUUUUCGAAUCGCAUGGCCUUGCGCCGGCGAUGGUUCAUUCAAAUUUCUUCCCUAUCAACUUUCGAUGUUUGGGUAUUGGCCAAACAUGGUGGCAACGGGUAACGGAGGGUUAGGGCUCGACCCCGGAGAGGGAGCCUGAGAAACGGCUACCACAUCCAAGGAAGGCAGCAGGCGCGCAAAUUACCCAAUGCUGACUCAGCGAGGUAGUGACAAUAAAUACUGAUGCAGGGCUCUUUUGGGUCUUGCAAUCGGAAUGAGUACAAUUUAAAUCCCUUAACGAGGAACAAUUGGAGGGCAAGUCUGGUGCCAGCAGCCGCGGUAAGUCCAGCUCCAAUAGCGUAUAUUAAAGUUGUUGUGGUUAAAAAGCUCGUAGUUGAACCUUGGGCCUGGCCGGCCGGUCCGCCUCACCGCGUGCACUGGUUCGGCCGGGCCUUUCCCUCUGCGGAACCGCAUGCCCUUAACUGGGCGUGCCGGGGAAGCAGGACUUUUACUUUGAAAAAAUUAGAGUGCUCCAGGCAGGCCUAUGCUCGAAUACAUUAGCAUGGAAUAAUGGAAUAGGACGUGUGGUUCUAUUUUGUUGGUUUCUAGGACCGCCGUAAUGAUCAAUAGGGACAGUCGGGGGCAUCUGUACUCAGCUGUCAGAGGUGAAAUUCUUGGAUUU
rnacentral:rRNA from 1 species